rnacentral:lncRNA from 1 species
AGAACCCCUAGUUAGAGCAGUUGGUUGUUACACAGACUAUUAUCCAAUUCAAGAGGCAUGGGGUUUAAAUUUUCGUACGUGCAUUUAACAAUAUAGAAUGUAUAAGGUUCCCACUUCUCGAAUAGUCUAUAAUAUUUAGGUUUAUAAAUCCAUCUUUUGUAUAACAUGAUAUCAGAGCUAAUUCUAAACCUCUGUCAUUUUAUGAGGACGUCGCUUUUUUAUUUAUUUGGAACUCUAACACAAAAUGUGAGCACAAAUUGUACUUUAUUUAUUUAUUGGGAUAAUUGUCUAUAUACUCCUCAUACGUUUGAAAAUAUCCGAUUUAUUCCUAUUUUUUUUUCUUUCUAAAAUAUAUCUCAUAUGUUCCACUGUUAUUGCAAAAUAUCCCCGCAGUUAUCUCCUGUUAAGUUAAUUUGGGUUAAACGUGAGUUAAAUAUCUACCACAGUUAAAAAAAAUAAAAUACCAAUUUUGCCCUUAACUUAAGGGCAAAUAAAAAAUAUUGGUGACGGUAGAGGGGUAUAUUGGAAAAGACCAAAAGUCACAAUAUUCUGACUUUAAGGGCAAAUAAAAAAAGUUAGUGAUGGUAGAAGGGUAUAUUUAAAAGGGCAAAACAGUAAUUUUACAGAAAUAAUAGUGUUCAUUAAUAAAUUUUAACUCUAAGAGUAUAUUAAAAAUAGAUUGGAACGUAGAAGGGAUAUUUUCAAUAUUAGCCUUCUAAGAGGGGUAAAUCGAAAAGUCGGAAACUUUUCAGGGGUAUAUAAGCAAUUGCCCCUUAUUUAUUUGAGAGAAACAAAUUGUUGUUUUAUU